GUUUUCUUUCCUUGAAACUUUUUCUGAAUUUUUUUUUCGGGUCUUCCAACUAAAUGAUAGCAUUUUUCCCGGGUAUGGCCAUAAUAUUUGCAAUUAUCGCAAUAGAAUCUUGUAUCCAAUUUUUUUCCAUUCUUUGAAAACAUUAUCUUAUUUUUUUCAGUUGUACUCUUAUCUUUAACAAAGAAGGCAGAUUCUACUUUCUCAUUGAUUUGUUCUCUGAACUUAAUCCU
rnacentral:lncRNA from 1 species